ACCAGGAACUCCGGUGCGACUCCGGGGCGGUUCCGCCACUGUGAACCGGCGCCUCCACGGGCCGGUCAGCCAGACACUG
rnacentral:ncRNA from 2 species